UACGUAGGGUGCAAGCGUUGUCCGGAAUUAUUGGGCGUAAAGAGCUCGUAGGCGGUUUGUCGCGUCUGCCGUGAAAGUCCGGGGCUCAACUCCGGAUCUGCGGUGGGUACGGGCAGACUAGAGUGGAUGUAGGGGAGACUGGAAUUCCUGGUGUAGCGGUAGAAAUGCGCAGAUAUCAGGAGGAACACCGAUGGCGAAGGCAGGUCUCUGGGCAUUAACUGACGCUGAGGAGCGAAAGCAUGGGGAGCGAACAGG
rnacentral:rRNA from 1 species